rnacentral:lncRNA from 1 species
UAGAGCUUAUUGAUAAACAUUCACCAGCAUAUCCCUGUGUAUGGUGUUGCAGAAAGAUCCCUGAAUUUUGAAUGGAAAGAAAUGAAGGCCCAUAAUAGGGUGGAGAUACAUACAUAUUGAUCAACCAACAGCAAUGCCCUGCUAUCCCAAAACCUCCAGGGCUGCCAUUGCCACCCAGCAGGUCAGUGGAUUUCCACCAUAAGUUGACUCAUGCUCCUCUGGUUAAAUGGGGAGAAGGCACCUAGAAAGUUGAUCCUAUGAUCCUCUCCUCUGGUUAAGUGACAGUUUACAUCACUUAAUUAAAAGUAAGUAGAGCAGAUAUGCAGAAUCAGAAAGACUUGGUUUUGUUUAGGAAUCU